UACGGAGGGCGCAAGCGUUGCUCGGAAUCAUUGGGCGUAAAGCGCACGUAGGCGGCUCGUUAAGUCGGAUGUGAAAUCCCUGGGCUCAACCCAGGAAGUGCAUUCGAAACUGGCGAGCUUGAAUAUGGAAGAGGGUCGCGGAAUUCCCGGUGUAGAGGUGAAAUUCGUAGAUAUCGGGAGGAACACCAGUGGCGAAGGCGGCGACCUGGGCCAAUAUUGACGCUGAGGUGCGAAAGCGUGGGGAGCAAACAGG
rnacentral:rRNA from 1 species